AAGAAUAGAGUUUUAUAACGUUUCAUUUACGAUGAGAAAAUCCUUUUGGUGUUCUUU
rnacentral:tRNA from 1 species